rnacentral:rRNA from 1 species
GACAGAGGGUGCAAACGUUGCUCGGAAUCACUGGGCGUAAAGGGCGUGUAGGCGGGACGGUAAGUCGGGGCGUGAAAUCCCUAGGCUCAACCUAGGAACUGCACUCGAAACUACCAUUCUUGAGUGUCGGAGAGGAAAGCGGAAUUCCUGGUGUAGAGGUGAAAUUCGUAGAUAUCAGGAGGAACACCAGUGGCAAGGCGGCUUUCUGGACGAUAACUGACGUGAGACGCGAAAGCGUGGGGGAGCAAAACAGG